UUAAGGGAGUUCGCUUCUCAGUUUCAAAGUAAUUAACUUUUCAAAACACUAGUUUAUAUUGAUAGGGAAUUAAUAAAGAAAUCCAAAGAGCAAAAAAAAUAUAAAGGUCACCGUGCUUGUUUUCGAGAUAUAAGGCAUUGAAAUUUUGGCGGGAAAAUUUCCUCUCUUGACUUUUCAUAGCUUUAUCAUUGACAGGUUGAAGUUCUCAAAAACUGUUAAUAAGUAAUUAAAAUUUUAUAAGACUUUUACAGAUGGCUUAUCAUUAUACAUGUAAAAGAUUUAUAAAAAGAAAAAUGGGGGUCACCGGGCAAAUUUUUUCAAGGCAUUCAAAUGGAUAAAACUAGAGGAUUCCGAAAAUCUGACAAAAAAUCCAAAACAUGACAAGCCAGCUUCCUUAAACAGG
rnacentral:lncRNA from 1 species